rfam:Tremella mesenterica DSM 1558 unplaced genomic scaffold TREMEscaffold_4, whole genome shotgun sequence.
GACACUUUAGUACAGUGGGAGUUACGCUCGCCUGAAGUCAUUAUACUCUCCCGAGAUGUUCGGAGGUAAAGCGAGAGGUCGUGGGCUCGAAUCCCACAAGUGUCA